AACUAGCUAGGUUCAUUCAUUUGAUCUUUUUUAUUAAAAUGGUAGUUGGACUGAGAGAUUAUUUUGAGAUUGUUACUUAUUAAAAUAACUAAGGAUUAAUUGUUCAUGCAUUGAUUGGUCUAGAAUAUUCUUUAACACCACAAAUCUUUUCUUCUAAAGUCUAAAAUUAACAACAAAAUCCUGUUACAGAAAUUAACAAAAUAUACACAAACAUAAAGUAACUUCCCAUAGGAAGUCAAACCUCAUGUGUGUAAAUAUAUGCACAGGAAUCUAGCUCGCCUUGUGAAAAAAUUGGCCUCAAAUUUACCCGCACGGCCAUCUGUCAUAGUAACAUUGACAAUAAAAUCUGCUUUAUUCAGUUUACUCCUAAAAUUCAGUCAACAACUACUUUGCAUAUGUGCUGGAGAUCAAUAUCAACAGCUACUCUGCUACUCUGCAUAUUUUCCAAGAUGUUUCCAGGAUAAGAAUAAACCUAUAAAGGACAAGAAACUUCGCAGAAACUAAAACUGAAUUCGUGCAACUU
rnacentral:lncRNA from 1 species